rnacentral:piRNA from 2 species
UGGGGUGGCAAAACUAGGAGCACAAGGA